GUUUUCUAUGCAUAACACUUAGAACAAAAGAUAAUAAUAGAAUACAAAGAUAAAAUCUUCAGAAAAAAUAACAAUGCACAUUAGCAAACUUUUUCUCUUGGGACUUUUAUGCAUUACAUUGGUCCUAUCUUUUGGAGCAACUGGUAACGAUAUAGCCGAAACAUGCAUUGGUGGGCUAUGUUUUGAUUGCGUCCUAAGAUGUUUUGGUCAGGAUUUCCGAUAGGUAGAUGUAAUUAUAAUUCCGUGUGUUGUUGUAGUAACUAGUGAUCAUUUUUAAAAUACAUUACAUUAUUAUAAAUACUUAAUAAUAUUGAAUAAAAUAAAUAAAUCUUCCUCCAAAAUUUUAUUUUUACGUUUGAAGCAUACACAUUUGAUGUUUGGUUUGAGCAGAAGUAAAAGUGGAAGACUUGAAAGAAGAAUGACUUCUUCAACUUAAAGAUAGGAUGAAUAUUGGGGUGAAAAUUGUUUCCAUUUAAAUCUUAUAUAUUAUGGGUGUAACUAUAGUUUAUAUUCAAUGAAAUACUACUAUUUUAUUUUA